GAGGAGGCGGAGCACUUCACCGCCAAUUCUUUUUAAGAUCUUCAUAGGCUGUACUGAAACUCCUUUUAAAAAAAAUACUUCCUUCUUUCAUUAAAGUUGUUAAAACAUUAAAUUUAAGAUGAAGGAAGUAUGAAAAAACAAAUAGUCGCAAGCAAGCAAUAGCAAAGCAGUCGUUGUGGUGGAGGCUCGAGCGUAACAUACAGGGACAUGCUAGGGUGGUUGAGGGCAUCCCCACCCUCCUGGUUAGGGAUAGCCAUUUUUUUGUUUGGUUGAAAGGGUGGUGUUAUCUCAUGUGUUUGUUUGAUUUAAGGGAUAUAAAUGAAGGAUAAGGGUGCGACCUCGACGGUGCGAAAGAAGGAGACGAUCGGCUGAUGACAGAGGAAGAGNCAGAGGAAGAAGAGGAGCGGUCGACGGCGCGGAUGAAGGAGAGGAGCGGCCGGCGGCGUGGAGGAAGGAGAGGAGCGCCGACCAGUGAACACAGCGCACGGGAUGGAUGUCGCGACCCUUCCGUUUUGGACGGUUGACCCCAUCCCUGUUUUGAGGAAAUAUUCUUGACAUCUGAUUGUCCCUGUCCUCCCUCGCCUCGGAUCCAAACAGGUGACGUCCCUCGCAUAGAAGGGAUAUCCCUGUAAUCAAACGCACCCUAAAGCUACCACGCCGUCACCGACGGAUGGGCCCGAAAGCGCGUGAGACUGGGCGCGGGCCUGAACGUCGUCGAACAGCGGUCCCACGAAAAGGCCAGUCACGAGUCAGGACGUCUUCUUUGGUGGCUGCGAGUUUUGGCUUAGCCAGAGACGACAAGAUUAGCUCAGGCUGUAAUAGAACGAGCUACGUGACUAAUCAUCUGUUUCUUCA
rnacentral:lncRNA from 1 species